rnacentral:lncRNA from 1 species
GUGCGAACUUCCGGGCAGACUUCCGGGCGGGCCCGCGCGCCACCCGUCCUCCAGGUGUGAAUGGCUGCGAGGGGCCUGGCUUCCGGCGAGCUGCAAAUGGCGACCGCAAAAGACUGGGAGUUGCCGUUCCUCUCAUUCCUUCCCCAUCAGUCAGGGGUGCCUGAGAGAUGACGUCCACCCAGACGUAAAGCAGAUGGUUUUUCUAUGGGAAGCAAGGCCCGUGAGAACGUUCUUUCCUGGAACUCCCAAAUCAUGGACAUUAGUCAACAGCCAUGCCACAGCCUACCCGGACAUACUAUGUUCAUGUAGAGUCAUGUAUUCAUCUCCAGCUGUAGAAAAGAAUAUAUCAAAGCCCAUGUUUCUACACUGACUACCAGAGUUAUUGUUCUGCCUCAGUGUAGACCAACAGCUUAACUCCACUUCAACCCCUAGCCUGGGGGACGUCCAUAGGCUGCGGGUGCAGCAAGGAAAAAAGGACAAAGAAAUAGCGUCUUGAGAACACUGGCUUGAGAUGGGAAGAAAUCAGGGCUGCAGGGCCGUAGGGGGAGGUGUGUGUCUGCUCCACUACACAGCAGCAGCGACGUAAGCAUCAGAAAUUAGGCAGGAAGGUUACAGAGACACCCUCCCAUCCCCAUUUAAGACUGGAAAUAGGAUGAAGUUGAAGGGAAGGGGUGAGAGCAGAGCUGGGCCCCUUCCAGCCGUCACCACAGGCCUGGGGCUGCACCCCGGCGGGAGGCUGCUCACUGGGACCCCUGGGUUCUGACCAACAGGAGGGCAGCCCAGCCUGCCCCUAACUCCACAGGGCCAGUGGGCGCUGUCCAGCGGGGCCUCCACUGGGGGCUGCCACCUGGCUGGAGGAAACAGGGCGAGCUCUCAAAACUGUAAGUGCUCCCUCUCGAGCCCACCAGAGGCUUCCUAGGGUUUCAUGGUCUCCCUCGCAGGCCUCUCUGCUGUGUUUGCUAUCAUGACAGGGCCACUUACCAUUGCCCGCCAUGGUCCUUCGGGAGUUAAUGCCAGACAGCUGCCUCGGAGACACUGGCUCUCUGCUGAUGGAGCCAGGCUGGGGGGAGCCUGUCCCUGUGGGAAUGUAUAAAGGCCACCCAGGGGGACCAGCCAUCCUGCCUCAGAGUCCCCCUGAGGAGGAGCCAGCUGUCUGCUCCCUCCCUGAGUUGCGCAGUAGACCCAAGUCCACGUCCGGGUUGUGAUAACUAUUCAGCCGGCCAGCAAGGCUUUUGAAGCAAAACGGUCUAACUGGAGUUGGAGAAGGACAGCAUCCAGAAACACCAGUUCCGUAGGGGGUGAGCUGCAAGGAACAAGCAAGAAGCUCAUACACUAUGCAUCGCCAGGAGUUCCCAUCGUGGCACAGCGGAAAUGAAUCUGACUAGGAACCAUGAGGUUUCAGGUUCGAUCCCUGGCCUCAAUCAGCAGGUUAAGGAUCUGGCGUUGCCAUGAGUUGUGGUGAAGGUUGCAGACGCGGCUCGGAUCUGGUGGUGGUGUAGGCCAGCAGCUGUAGCUCCGAUUAGACCCCUAGCCUGGGAACCUCCAUAUGCCAUGGGUAUGGCCCUAAAGAGACCAAAAAAAAAAAAAAAAAAAAAAAACAUCGCCAAAGAGGGUCACUGGGCCCUGAGCAUGUGCUCUCAACACCCCCACUCCACCCUUCUGCACAGCAUUGAAAGCUUCCUGGAGGAGAAGGCCCCUUACAGAGGCCUGAGGGGAGGGAAGUCUGUCUAAGCAAAACAUGGACAAAAUGUAUCUGCUGCAAAUUACAAGAAGCUGAUGAAAGAUCAAAGAAGAACUAACUAAAUGGAGACAUGUUAUCAUGUUCACGGACUGGAGGAUUCAACUUUUCCCCAAAUUAAUUUAAAGGUUUAAUGCAAUUCCUAUCAAAAUUCAAAAAAGAAUGUUGGCAGAAACAGGUAAGCUUAUUCUGAAAUUUAUACUGACAAGAGAGCAGGAGGUCUGGCUUGCGAGUGGCCACUUCUCUGUUGCGUGUGGGGAAAGAAUAAAUUUAAAGUGGGUGAUGUUGAGAAGGGCAAGAAGAUUCUUGUUGGGAAGUGUCCUCAGUGCUGUACCGUGGAGGAGGAAGGCAAGCACAAGACUGGCUCCAACCUCCAUGGUCUGGUUGGACUGAAGACGGGCCAGCCUCCUUGGAUUCACUCACCCGAGGAGAGGAGACGCUGGCGGAGACGUGGACAAUCCCGCAAAGGACCUCCCUGGAACAAAAAUGCUCUUUGCUGCCCUUAGGAAGCGGGGAGAAGGGAAGACGUGGUAGCUUAUCUCAAGAAAGCUCCUGAUGAGAACAGAGUGCCGUCGUGGCUCAGUGGUCACGAACCCAACUGGUAUCCAUGAGCAUGUGGGUUCAAGUCUUGGCCUUGCUCAGUGGGUUAAGGAACUGGCAUUGCCGGGAGCUGUGGUGUAGGUCGCAGACACAGCUCGGAUCUGGCGUUGCUGUGGCUGUGGUGUAGGCCGGCAGCUACAGCUCUGAAUAGACCCCUUGCCUGGGUAUGGCCCUCAAGAAAAGACAAAACAAAACCCUGUAGGCGAUUGGUUUUAUAUAUAGAUUUCUAGAACUCGUUUUAUUAAUAUGUUUAAAUACUGAGAAGAUCCCUUUACGGUCUCAGAACAGAGCAAGAUUCACCUGCGUUUCAAGCUCUGUUCACUAACCUGUUAAGGCAAGAGUGGAGGAUAAAUUGACACCGUCCCCUGUAUCUUUUUGGUCUUAAUGAUGCUAAUUUCAUUAAAAGUUCUCUGUGU